rnacentral:misc_RNA from 1 species
GAUUUAUCGGCGUCGCCGUUCCUAUCUCGACCGGCUUUUGAUUUGAACUCUGACCAACGCGCGCACGAGUAUAUAACUCUUGAAAACGGCGAAAUCGCGAAACUAUAACCAACCUCUCGUUCCUCGCUGUAAAGAGUCAUCAAACCAUCGAUAGUUGGAUCGUUAUGACGAAUAUGCUGUUGGACGUGCAGGCUUUUCGAGUAAAAAUGUAUUGGAUACUUUGUAUCAUUAAAUAGCAAUGAAUUGGCCGAUCAUCGUUCGGGACGUCGUCCGUGGCGUUCCGCUUGCGACAUACACGGUCUUCAUGGAACACCGAGGCCUCAUUUGUAUUCGUCACCACCACGAAAAAUCAUCUAGCCAUCGACUUGAUUAUUUUUUUGGAUGACGACUCCAAGUAAAGAUCAACGGACGACUCGAAAUACAGAUCGAAGAUCAAUGACUUCGAUCAAUGGCUGGGAAUUUGACGAACAAGAUUUAUGAUCUCUAGUACGCUAUAUUUGAAACUCGAAGUGAAGAAGAGGAAAG